rnacentral:rRNA from 1 species
GACGAACGCUGGCGGCGUGCUUAACACAUGCAAGUCGAACGGAAAGGCCCUGCUUUUGUGGGGUGCUCGAGUGGCGAACGGGUGAGUAACACGUGAGUAACCUGCCCUUGACUUUGGGAUAACUUCAGGAAACUGGGGCUAAUACCGGAUAGGAGCUCCUGAUGCAUGGGGGGGGUUGGAAAGUUUCGGCGGUUGGGGAUGGACUCGCGGCUUAUCGGCUUGUUGGUGGGGUAGUGGCUUACCAGGGCUUUGACGGGUAGCCGGCCUGAGAGGGUGACCGGCCACAUUGGGACUGAGAUACGGCCCAGACUCCUACGGGAGGCAGCAGUGGGGAAUAUUGCACAAUGGGCGGAAGCCUGAUGCAGCAACGCCGCGUGCGGGAUGACGGCCUUCGGGUUGUAAACCGCUUUCGCCUGUGACGAAGCGUGAGUGACGGUAAUGGGUAAAGAAGCACCGGCUAACUACGUG